rnacentral:lncRNA from 1 species
UCGUCUCCAACUUAUAGACAAACCAGACAACCCAAACCCUAGCACCCCCUUUACCUCCGCCGUAAACCCGGCGGCUUGAGGUCCAAUGACCCCCAUCUUCACACCCCUGAACCAUCACGCCCUCCUCUUUCCAAAUCCACCCUCCAUUUUCCUCAAAUCAUAACCAUCUGCUUCAAAUAUCAGAUCGAAGAAUCUGUCUAGAACCCUAGUUCGUCCAAUCAAUCCCAAAAUCACACCAGCUAUUCACCAAACCACCCUCACCCCUAAUACUUAGCAAAUUUGGUUCAAAUCCGAGUUAAACUCGUCAAAUGACGGAUCUAGGGUUUAAGGAUUCGAGACUGCUUCGAAGUCGUCAGGGUCAAGUUGGUUUCUAGUUAGUAUUGAGGGCCUGGUUCUGACGAAGUAGGCACUUAAAUCGACUUUGAAGCCAAAUGUCGUUUGGAAUCCAAAAAUCAAUAAGCUCUCUUGAAUACCUUCUUUUUCCUUUUCUAUAUAUUUUCGUUUGUUUGUGGUAAGUUUUAAUUAGCUUUUUUUAGGUUUUAAGUUUAAAUUAAUUAUAGGUUCUUAAUCCGCUCCUCUUUCUGUUUUUUUUUGUUUGAUCACUACUACAAUGUUCGUCUGAAUGGCUCAAUCGAUUAUUCAUUUGCCUAAAAUAAUUUUGUAAGUCAUCUUUUGUUUAUGGCUUUUCUUCCUCUCCAUUAGACCUUUUAUUUGGUCCAAGUUUCUGAUUGCCGAUGAUGAUAUGUAACUUGUGCAAUUGAAUGAAUAAGUGUUGACAAAUAAUAUGUUAUGUUUUAAAGUUGGAUUAGCAUGACAAUAGUCUAAUUUUUGUUCAUUUCAGUAGGUUUCGGUUUGAUUUGUUUUUCUCUAUUAGUUCUGCUCCGUAAAUUCAUCCUCUAAUCUUUAAUUGUUUAAGUUCUAAUGUUUAAUGUGAACCUUGUAUCUCGUUUCCCUUUGUCUCUUUGAAUAAAUAAAAUCAGUCAGUGUUAGCACGUUUGUAUAAAACUAUAGUUAUUCCCGUAAUUGAUUGCUUGUUUAGGUCUGAUUUAGAAAAUAUGACUUGUUCAAAUGUGGAUAGCAUGUAUCUUUGUCAGUUAGUAUCGAUUUAGUAGUUCAAUAUAGCCUUAUUCUAAUGCUAUAUAGUUUGAACUGCUAAUUUAAGUUUGAUGAGUUAAGUCCCAAAUGGUUUGGUCUGAUUUGAAUCUGGCAUUGUUGAAGUGUCCUAAUGUGAUUGAUAUGAAAUUAUUUACAUAUGUUAGUAAUCAAAUUGGUAGGUUUUGGAUUGGCUAUAGCUGGUAGUUAAACUUUAGUUUUAGAUAAUUUUUAAGUUUUGAGCAGAUAUUGGAAUCUGUUUUAUGGAUUAGUGCAGCAACAGUAGGAUCUUAGGAUGUUUUAGGAAUAUAGAAAUGCAGAAAUUGGAUUUGACUAAUUAAUCUAUCCAGUAGGGCCCCAAUAGCUUUAAUUUGAACUAAUUAGUAGGAGGGGACCACUGAAAAUGAUAAAUGUUGACUGCUUUUGCUUAAUUGGAAUCAGGAAUAGUAGUUUAAUGAUAAAAUGCUGAAAGAAUACACAUAGAAGAGCAUGUUUGGGGGCUGGAAAUUAAAGUUAGGGAUAAUUGGAAAGGUAAUAAUAAAAGGUUAGUAAUAAUAAUUAGGGGAGGGGGGAAGGGAGGGGAAGAAGGUUUUGCUUUUGAUAAAAGGAAGAGUCCUUUGACACUGAAGGAGAAUAUUUUUUUUUCCUGAAAAUAGAGAGAGAUUCUUAAAUAUUAAAAAGUUGAGAAUACUUUGAGAAAUAUUGAGAGCAACAGACAGACCCAAGAGAUAGAAAAUUUUGAGAAAAUCAUACCUGCAUGAAUUCAUUGUUUCAUUAAGUACCUUUGGUGAUUUUCUAAUGUUUUCAAUCUCCGAAACGAAUUCUGGUCCUUCUUGAGCUGAAAUAAUUUGAGUUUGAUUGGUUUUUGAGAGUUUGGUUCAAGUGUUGGGUAGUGUUUCUGAUUACUAGACAUUGCUUACUGUUUCUGCUGAUUUUAAAUCUGGUUCAAGUUGUUUUCUUGCUGUUUCCGGGCUGGUUGUACUGUGCUGUUGUUGUUUACUGCUAUCCUGCUGAUCUUCCUCUUUUUUCCUUGAUCUAUUACCAGGUACAUUCUCGAAUCACAAUGUCAUGUAGCUGUUGAAAAAUAAAAGGCAAUGCUCGAAUAGUCGAGUAUUUAGUUAUGCUGAUAGCUUAAUAGUCAAACGAUAGAUA